ensembl:lncRNA
GUGAAAUAAUCUAACAUGCACUGUAUGGCAAACAAGAAGGAAAAGUAACUGUACCCUUUGAGGGAGGAAGCACAACUGCAAUUUUACAUUUAUGGCGCCGGAGUAGAAGGCAGACGCAAAGGAUAUACUGCUUCCUCGGGAACAGGACCUGAUCCUCGUGAUCUGCAUGAAGAGGAGGCAGAGAAAGAGGGGCCGAAGAGCAGGCUGCAUUCUGAGAAUUCAUAGGCUAUCGAAUAAACCCCCACGUUCCUCCAUUCUGCUAGUAAACAUGCAACCCUUGGAGAAUAAAAUCGACGAGUUACGCAGAAGAUUAAACUUCCAAAGGGACAUUAAAAACUGUAACAUCUUAUGCUUCACAGAGUUGUAGCUGAAUAUACAGCUGGCUAGUUAUACAAUGUACCGGCAGGAUAGAACAGUGGCGUCUGGUAAGACAAUGGGCAGCGGACUAUGUAUUUUUGUAAAUAACAGUUGGUGCACGAUAUCUAAGGAAGUCUCGAGCUAUUGCUCGCCUGAGGUAGAGCAUCUCAUGAUAAGCUGUAGACCACACUACCUACCGAAAGAGUUUUCAUCUGUAUUUUUCGUAGUUGUUUACAUACCACCACUGUCAGAAGCACUAAGACAGCAUUGAAUGAUCUGUACUCUGUCAUAAGCAAACAAGAAACGCUCACCCAGAGGCGGCGCUCCAAGUAGCCGGGGACUUUAAUGCAGGGAAACUUAAAUCCGUUUUACCAAAUUUCUAUCUGCAUGUUAAAUGUGCAACCAGAAGAAAAAGAACUCUGGACCACCAAUACUUCACACACAUAACUAUUUUAGCUCUCCCUCUCCCUCCAUUUAUCAAAUCUGACCAUAAUUCUAUCCUCCUGAUUCCUGCUUACAAGCAAAAAUUUAAUCAGGAAGCACCAGUGACUCGAUCAACAAAAAACUGCUCAGAUGAAGCAGAUGCUAAGCUACAGGACUGCUUUGCUAGCACAGACUGGAAAAUGUUCCAUGAUUCCUCCGAUGGCAUUUAGGAGUACACCACAUCAGUCAUUGGCUUCAUCAAUAAGUGCAUCGAUGACGUCGUCCCCACUGUAACUGUACGUACAUACCCAACCAGAAGCCAUGGAUUACAAGCAGCAUCCGCACUGAGCUAAAGGCUAGAGCUGCCGCUUUCAAGGAGCGGGACUCUAACCCGGAAGCGUAUAAGAAAUUCCGCUAUGCCGUCAGACGAAACAUCAAACAGGGAAAGCGUCAAUACAGGACUAAGAUCGGAUCGACCUACACCAGCUUUGAAGCUUGUUGCAUGUAGCAGGGCUUGCAAACCAUUACAGACAACAAAGGGAAGCCCAGCCGAGAGCUGCCCAGUGACACGAGCCUACCAGACAAGCUAAACUACUUCUAUGCUCGCUUCGAGGCAAAUAAUACUGAAACAUGCAUGAGAGCACCAGCUGUUCCAGAAGACUGUGUGAUCACGCUCACCGCAGCCAAUGUGAGUAAGCCCUUUAAACAGGUCAACAUUCAUAAGGCCGCAGGGCCAGACUGAUUACCAGGACGUGUCUUCACUGACAUUUUCAACCUCUCCCUGUCACAGUCUGUAAUGCCAGCAUGUUUUAAGCAGACCACCAUAGUGCUUGUGACCAAGAACAUUAAGGUAACCUACCUAAAUUACUAAUGACCCGAAGCAGUCACAUCUGUAGCCAUGAAGUGCUUUGAAAGGCUGGUCAUGGUCACAACAUGACGGGCCACCCCCCAGGUGGUAACGGUAGGUAACAACACAUCCACAACACUGAUCCUCAUCACAGGGGCCUCUCAGGGUUGUGUGCUCAGUCCCCUCCUGCACUCCCUGUUCACUCAUGACUGCACAGCCAGGCACGACUCCAACACCAUCGUUAAGUUUUCCGAUGACGCAACAGUGAUAGGCCUGAUCAUUGACAACAACGAGACAGCCUAUGGGAGGGUCAGAGACCUGGCCGUGUGUUGACAGGACAACAACCUCUCCCUCAACGUGAUCAAGACAAAGGAGAUGAUUGUGGAGUACAGGAAAAGAAGGACCGAGCACGCCCCCGUUCUCAUCAACGGGCUGCAGUGGAGCAGGUUGAGAGCUUCAAGUUCCUUGGUGUCCACAUCAACAAACUAGCAUGGUCCAAGCACACCAAGACAGCUGUGAAGAUGGCAUGACAAAACCUGUUCCCCCUCAAGAGACCAAAAAGAUUUGGCAUGGGUCCUUAGAUCCUCAAAAGGUUCUACAGCUGCCUCAUCGAGAGCAUCCAGACUGGUUGCAUCACUGCCUGGUAUGGCAACUGCUCGGUCUCUGACCGCAAGGCACUACAGAGGGUAAUGUGAAUGGCCCAGUACAUCACUGGGGCCAAGCUUCCUGCCAUCCAGGACCACGAUACCAGGCGGUGUCAGAGGAAGGCCAUAAAAAUUGUCAAGGAGUCUUGCAACCCUAGUCAUGGACAGUGCUCUCUGCUACCGCACGGCAAGCGGUACCAAAGUGCCAAGUCUAGGACCAAGAGGCUUCUAAACAGCUUCUACCCCCAAGUCAUAAGACUCCUGAACAUCUAGUCAAAUGGCUACCCAGACUAUUUGCAUUGCCCCUCCCCGUCUUUACACCACUGCUACUCUCUCUUGUCAUCUAUAUAUAGUCCCUUUAAUGACUCUACUUACAUGUACGUACUACCUCAACUAAUCGGUGCCCCCGCACAUUGACUCUGUAUCGGUAACCCCCUGUUUGUAAUCUCGCUAUUGUUAUUUUACUGCUGCUCUUUAAUUACUAUUUACUUUAAUCUCUUAUUCUUAAUCCAUAUUUUUUUUGGAACUGCAUUGUUGAUUAGGGGCUCGUAAGUAAGCAUUUUGGCACAUGUGACUAAUAACAUUUGAUUUGGUUUGCCCUGUCUGAUUUACUAUAGGCUUUACAGUGAAAGCAUGCCAUGCGAUUGUGUGAAGAUGGCGCCCCACAUCAAAAUAGUUUUCCACCAGCACAGGUUUCAUAAAUUCACAAAUAGCGACUACAUUUUCACCUUUUGAAAAUCUUCCUCUGAUUUGUCAUCCAAAGGGUCCCAGCUACAGCAUGUAGUGUCUUUUUGUUAGGUAAAAUCCUUCUUUAUAUCCCAAAAAGUCAGUAUAGUUGGCGCCAUCAUUUUGAGUAAUCCACUCGUUCAACAUGCAGAGAAAGGAAUCCAAAAAGAUACCGCUAAAUUUGUUAAAACAAGUCAAAAUAUAAUUCUAUUUAAUCCUCAGAUACCCUAAAAUGUAAUUAAACUAUAAUAUUUCAUACGGAAAGAAGUAUGUUCAAUAGGAAAACAAUAUUAGCAGGUAAGCGUCCUCUUCAUCGCGCGCACAUAGACUGAUUUCCAACUCCGAGUCCCAGUACUAAAACUCAUUAAUCUUCCUCGUUUGGAAUCCUGAAAUGUUGAUCAAAGACUACGGACAUCCAGUGGAAGCCAUAGGAAUUGCAUACUGGGAGCUGGAUUAAAAUUUUUUCCCCUAUAGGUUCUUAUGGAAAAGUAUAUGCUCUCAAUUUGUUUUUAUUCUGGUUGAUUUUUCUUUUGAUUUUCUCCUACCAUAUUUAUUGUGUUAUAGUCCCCUAUAAAUUCAGAGUGUUAUUUUCCAAUGGUACCAAUUAUAUGCAUAUCCUGGCUUCAGGGCCUGAGCAACAGGCAGUUGACUGACCUUCAUGUCUUAAAGUAAUGAUGGACUUUAAUUUCUCUUUGCUUAUUUGAGCUGUUCUUGCCAUAAUAUGGACUUGGUCUUUUACCAAAUAGGGCUAUCUUCUGUAUAUCCCCCUACCUUGUCACAACACAACUGAUUGGCUCAAACACAGAGAUAUAGGGGAGGUAAUGACAGAGGUGACUUGAGUCCAGGUGAGUCCAAUAAUCGCUGAUGCGCGUGACGGAGAAAGGCAGGUGUGCUUACUGAUGGUGGCAGGAGUGCGUAAUGAUAGGGAGCCUGAAGCCUGGCGCCUUCCACACACCAGGGAGGGAGAGCGGGAGCAGCCGUGAAAGAACACCUACUCAUUCUAUUCCCUGCUGCAGCAGUAAUUGUCGGUUUGUACGGAUGUGCUGACGCUGUUCUUGUCUUGGUCUUUGUGCAUUUCCUGAUUAAAUGUUGACUCCCCGUAUCUCCGGCGACGGUCCUUACAUGUUCUAAAACUUUUGACCGGUAGUGUAGCGCAAAAACAAAUAACAAAUGGAAAUUACAAGUUAAUUUAGUUUUAAAGACUGAUUAACACAACACAAUUUUUUUAGUAUUUAUAUUGCAGUAAAUUAGACUAAAUUACUCACUCAAAAUGUACAUACAUGGAGUGUACAAAUCAUUAAGAACAUACCCCUCCUUUGCACUCAGAACAGCCUCAAUUCAUUGGGACAUAGAUUCUACAAGGUGUCGAAAGCAUUCCACAGGGAUGCUGGCACAUUUUUGACUCCAAUGCUUCCCACAGUUGUGUCAAGUUGGGUUGAUGUCCUUUGGGUGGUGGACCAUUCUUGAUACUGAAGGGGUUAAACCAAGGCCUCAUCCCUUUUAAAGGGUUAAUAAGUUGUGUUAUGAUAAAAUGUGUGUGUAUUAACACCUGUUUUGAGUGUUUUGCCCUUCAGACAGUAUCAGAAGAAGGAAUCCGCCUACGUUCAUACAUACUCCUCCUGUCUGGGCCCCACCUGGCUAUCUGAGGUUCUGAGAACACGACUGGUUUUCUGAGAACACAAGGCUGCCGCAGGCCUAAUGAAAACAGCCACCUGUCAGAAGCUGCUUGGACUCGUUCACCUUGUUAUGACCCUAUACUUGUGAUGAAAGGUCAAGUUUCAGUCAAACCCACUUUGGAGCUUUUAAUUGCUGACAAGAUGGCUGGAGGUUAGAUUUAUUAAAAUGUUGUUGCCAGGGAAAAUCACACAAGGAGGAAUGGGAGAGGCUAUAUGAGUUACAGGAUGUUUUAGACAUUUUGCAGAACCUGGGUAGAGCUAUCAUAUACUGUACCAACUUCUGCCUACAAUUGUAUUACUAAAGGAUCAUUUGAAUACUUAAACAAAGAGUCUGUGUUUCCAUUACUAAUGUACAGUUGAAGUCGGAAGUUUACAUUACUUAGGUUGGAGUCAUUAAAACUCGUUUUUCAACCACUCCACAAAUUUCUUGUUAACAACGCAGCUGUCAUGCCGCUCAGGAAGGAGACGCGUUCUGUCUCCUAGAGAUGAUUGUACUUUGGUGCGAAAAGUGCAAAUCAAUCCCAGUACAACAGCAAAGGACCUUGUGAAGAUGCUGGAGGAAACAGAUGGCUUCUCGACACUGAGGAUGAGCUCAGUGAUAUCCAGGCUGAAUCUGUUCCUCCUGAGGUCCAUGAUUGGCUGGCCUCCACCUUCACCAGGAAGAUGGCCGUGUCACGGCAGCGGCGGCCGGAGGAGAAGCCGCGGUUUUGCAGUAUCGUCC